UUGCGAUGAAGAAAAUAGUGUUUGAGUGAUCUGGGUCGAUCACAACCGUCCGAUCAUAUUGACGAUGACAUCAGACGCAUCUGAGCUU